rnacentral:rRNA from 1 species
UACGAAGGGUGCAAGCGUUAAUCGGAAUUACUGGGCGUAAAGGGUGCGUAGGCGGUUCGUUAAGUCUGUCGUGAAAUCCCCGGGCUCAACCUGGGAAUGGCGACGGAUACUGGCGAGCUAGAGUGUGUCAGAGGAUGGUGGAAUUCCCGGUGUAGCGGUGAAAUGCGUAGAGAUCGGGAGGAACAUCAGUGGCGAAGGCGGCCAUCUGGGACAACACUGACGCUGAAGCACGAAAGCGUGGGUAGCAAACAGG